rnacentral:sRNA from 12 species
AGCCUUGCCUCAUGGCAGAACAUACACUAAGCAGAAUAGCUAGUAGAUGAUGACAAAAGGGUCAUCCAGUCGAAUGUUAGGACAUAAAAAAAGCAGACAA